UUCGCAAUGCCCGAAAGGGUGACGAAGCGACGCCGCGUGUGGGAAGAAGGCCUUCGGGUUGUAAACCACUGUCGGGAGUUAAGAAAUGCAAGGAUAUGAAUAGUGUCUUUGCUUGACUAAGGCUCCGGAGGAAGCCACGGCUAACUCUGUGCCAGCAGCCGCGGUAAUACAGAGGCGGCAAGCGUUGUUCGGAAUUAUUGGGCGUAAAGAGCACGUAGGCGGCUAUGUAAGUCGGUUGUGAAAGCCUUCCGCUCAACGGAAGAACAGCAUCCGAUACUACAUGGCUUGAGUGCGGGAGGGGAGAGUGGAACUUCUGGGGGAGCGGUGAAAUGCGUAGAUAUCAGAAGGAACGCCGGCGGCGAAAGCGGCUCUCUGGCCCAUAACUGACGCUGAGUGUGCGAAAGCUAGGGGAGCAAACGGGAUUAGAUACCCCGGUAGUCCUAGCCGUAAACGAUGGGCACUAAGUAGAGGGGUUUU
rnacentral:rRNA from 1 species